rnacentral:rRNA from 1 species
AUUGAACGCUGGCGGCAGGCUUAACACAUGCAAGUCGAGCGGAGAUGAGGUGCUUGCACCUUAUCUUAGCGGCGGACGGGUGAGUAAUGCUUAGGAAUCUGCCUAUUAGUGGGGGACAACAUUCCGAAAGGAAUGCUAAUACCGCAUACGUCCUACGGGAGAAAGCAGGGGAUCUUCGGACCUUGCGCUAAUAGAUGAGCCUAAGUCGGAUUAGCUAGUUGGUGGGGUAAAGGCCUACCAAGGCGACGAUCUGUAGCGGGUCUGAGAGGAUGAUCCGCCACACUGGGACUGAGACACGGCCCAGACUCCUACGGGAGGCAGGAGUGGGGAAUAUUGGACAAUGGGGGAACCCUGAUCCAGCCAUGCCGCGUGUGUGAAGAAGGCCUUAUGGUUGUAAAGCAAUUUAAGCGAGGAGGAGGCUACUGAGACUAAUACUCUUGGAUAGUGGACGUUACUCGCAGAAUAAGCACCGGCUAACUCUGUGCCAGCCGCCGCCGUAACAC